rnacentral:misc_RNA from 1 species
GAUGAAGAACGUAGCGAAAUGCGAUAAGUAAUGUGAAUUGCAGAAUUCAGUGAAUCAUCGAAUCUUUGAACGCACAUUGCGCCCGCCAGUAUUCUGGCGGGCAUGCCUGUUCGAGCGUCAUUUCAACCAUCAAGCCCCGGGCUUGUGUUGGGGACCUGCGGCUGCCGUAGGCCCUGAAAAGCAGUGGCGGGCUCGCUGUCACACCGAGCGUAGUAGCAUAUAUCUCGCUCUGGGCGUGCUGCGGGUUCCGGCCGUUAAACCACCUUUUAACCCAAGGUUGACCUCGGAUCAGGUAGGAAGACCCGCUGAACUUAAGCAUAUCAAUAAGCGGAGGA